GCAUUGGUGGUCCAACGGUAGGAUAUUUGCCUUCCAAGCAAAUGGUUCGGGUUCGACUCCCGGCCAAUGCA